AGCGAACGCUGGCGGCAGGCUUAACACAUGCAAGUCGAGCGGGCCCUUCGGGGUCAGCGGCAGACGGGUGAGUAACACGUGGGAACGUACCCUUUGGUUCGGAAUAACGCUGGGAAACUAGCGCUAAUACCGGAUACGCCCUUUUGGGGAAAGGCUUGCUGCCGAAGGAUCGGCCCGCGUCUGAUUAGCUAGUUGGUGGGGUAAUGGCCUACCAAGGCGACGAUCAGUAGCUGGUCUGAGAGGAUGAUCCGCCACACUGGGACUGAGACACGGCCCAGACUCCUACGGGAGGCAGCAGUGGGGAAUAUUGGACAAUGGGCGCAAGCCUGAUCCAGCCAUGCCGCGUGAGUGAUGAAGGCCUUAGGGUUGUAAAGCUCUUUUGUCCGGGACGAUAAUGACGGUACCGGAAGAAUAAGCCCCGGCUAACUUCGUG
rnacentral:rRNA from 1 species